rnacentral:tRNA from 1 species
UGGCUCAGUUGGUAGAGCAUGGUGCUUGCAAUGCCAAGGAUCGUGGGUUCAAUUCCCAC